rnacentral:rRNA from 1 species
AUUGAACGCUGGCGGCAGGCCUAACACAUGCAAGUCGAGCGGAUGAUGGGAGCUUGCUCCUGGAUUCAGCGGCGGACGGGUGAGUAAUGCCUAGGAAUCUGCCUGGAAGUGGGGGAUAACGUCCGAAAACGGGCGCUAAUCCCGCAUCCGCCCUGAGGGAGAAAGUGGGGGAUCUUCCGACUUCACGCCAUCAUAUGAGCCUAGAUCGGAUUACCUAGUUGGUGUGGUAAAGGCCUACCAAGGCGACUACAGGUACCUGGUAUGAGAGGAUGAGCAGUCACACUGGAUCUGAGACACGGUCCAGACACCGACGGGAGGCAGCAGUGGAGAAUAUUGGACAAGGGGCGAAAGCCUGAUCCAGCCAUGCCGCCUGUGUGCAGAAGGUCUUCGGACUGUUAAACACUUUAAGUUGUGAGGAAGGACAGUAAGUUAAUCCGUUGCUGUUUUGACGUUACCAACAGAAGAAGCACCGGCUAACUUCGUG